AAGGAAACUUCCUUUAUUGGUAAGAAGGGCUGAGCUGUAAACUCAGUAGCUAUAAGCUUCUAAGAGUUCGAAUCUCUUGUUUCCUA
rnacentral:tRNA from 1 species